rnacentral:rRNA from 1 species
AUUGAACGCUGGCGGCAUGCUUUACACAUGCAAGUCGAACGGUAACAGGUUAAGCUGACGAGUGGCGAACGGGUGAGUAAUGCAUCGGAACGUGCCCGGUCGUGGGGGAUAACGCAGCGAAAGCUGCGCUAAUACCGCAUACGAUCUGAGGAUGAAAGCGGGGGACCGUAAGGCCUCGCGCGAUCGGAGCGGCCGAUGUCAGAUUAGGUAGUUGGUGGGGUAAAGGCUAACCAAGCCAACGAUCUGUAGCUGGUCUGAGAGGACGACCAGCCACACAGGGACGGGGACCCGGCCCAGGCUCCUACGGGAGUCAGCAGUGGGGAAUUUUGGAAAAUGGGCGAAAGCCUGAUCCAGCAAUGCCGCGUGCAGGAAGAAGGCCUUCGGGUUGUAAACUGCUUUUGUACGGAGCGAAAAGGUCUCCUCUAAUACAGGGGGCUCAUGACGGUACCGUAAGAAUAAGCACCGGCUAACUACGUGCCAGCCGCCGCCGUAA